CAGUAGCCGCGGGAAUACGAAGGGGGCUAGCGUUGCUCGGAAUGACUGGGCGUAAAGGGCGCGUAGGCGGAUUGUUUAGUUAGGCGUGAAAUUCCUGGGCUUAACCUGGGGACUGCGCUUAAUACAGGCAGUCUAGAGUGAGGAAGAGGGUUGUGGAAUUCCCAGUGUAGAGGUGAAAUUCGUAGAUAUUGGGAAGAACACCGGUGGCGAAGGCGGCGACCUGGUCCUUGACUGACGCUGAGGCGCGAAAGCGUGGGGAGCAAACAGGAUUAGAUACCCCGUAGUCCCUGUCUCUUAUACA
rnacentral:rRNA from 1 species